rnacentral:sRNA from 1 species
UAUCUCUGAAGUGCUUUGUGAUGGAUC